GACGAACGCUGGCGGCGUGCUUAACACAUGCAAGUCGAACGAAGUGGCGAACGGGUGAGUAAAGCGUAAUCAACCUGCCCUUCAGAGGGGGACAACAGUUGGAAACGACUGCUAAUACCGCAUACGGAAGACGGAGAUUGCGUCUGCUUAGCUAGUUGGAGGGGGAACGGCCAACCAAGGCGAUGAUCAGUAGCCGGUCUGAGAGGAGGAACGGCCACAUUGGGACUGAGACACGUCCCAGACUCCUACGGGAGGCAGCAUUGGGGAAUCUUCCGCAAUGGAAGAAAGUCUGACGGAGCAACGCAGCGUGAGUGAUGACGGCCUUCGGGUUGUAAAGCUCUGUUAAUCGGGACGCGGUACCGGAAUAGAAAGCCACGGCUAACUACGUGCCAGCAGCCGCGGUAAUUC
rnacentral:rRNA from 1 species